GAUGAACGCUGGCGGCGUGCUUAACACAUGCAAGUCGAACGAUGAAGCCCUGCUUGUUGGGUGGGUUAGUGUCGCACGGGUGAGUAACACGUGAGUAUCCUCCCCUUAACUCUUGGAUAAGCCUUGGAAACUGGGUCUAUUACCGCGGAGAGGCGCCCCCGCCACGGUGGGGGUUGGGAAGAUUUUGCGGUUUUGGAUGGACUCGCGGCGUAUCAGCUUGUUGGUGUGGUAUUGGCUCACCAAGGCGCCGACGGGUAGCCGGCCUGAGAGGGUGACCGGCCACACUGGGACUGAGACACGGCCCAGACUCCUACGGGAGGCAGCAGUGGGGAAUAUUGCACAAUGGGCGCAAGCCUGAUGCAGCGACGCCGCGUGAGGGAUGACGGCCUUCGGGUUGUAAACCGCUUUCAGUAGGGAAGAAGCGAAAGUGACGGUAACUGCAAAAGAAGCACCGGCUAACUACGUG
rnacentral:rRNA from 1 species